rnacentral:rRNA from 1 species
AUUGAACGCUGGCGGCAGGCUUAACACAUGCAAGUCGAGCGGGGGAAGGUAGCUUGCUACCGGGCCUAGCGGCGGACGGGUGAGUAAUGCUUAGGAAUCUGCCUAUUAGUGGGGGACAACAUCUCGAAAGGGAUGCUAAUACCGCAUACGUCCUACGGGAGAAAGCGGGGGAUCUUCGGACCUUGCGCUAAUAGAUGAGCCUAAGUCGGAUUAGCUAGUUGGUGGGGUAAAGGCCUACCAAGGCGACGAUCUGUAGCGGGUCUGAGAGGAUGAUCCGCCGCACUGGGACUGAGACACGGCCCAGACGCCUACGGGAGGCAGCAGUGGGGAAUAUUGGACAAUGGGGGGAACCCUGAUCCAGCCACGCCGCGUGUGUGAAGAAGGCCUUAUGGUUGUAAAGCACAUUAAGCGAGGAGGAGGCUACUCUAGUUAAUACCUAGGGAUAGUGGACGUUACUCGCAGAAUAAGCACCGGCUAACUCUGUGCCAGCCGCCGCCGUAA